UACGUAGGGUGCAAGCGUUAUCCGGAAUUAUUGGGCGUAAAGAGCUCGUAGGCGGUUUGUCGCGUCUGCUGUGAAAACCCGAGGCUCAACCUCGGGCCUGCAGUGGGUACGGGCAGACUAGAGUGCGGUAGGGGAGAUUGGAAUUCCUGGUGUAGCGGUGGAAUGCGCAGAUAUCAGGAGGAACACCAAUGACGAAGGCAGAUCUCUGGGCCGUAACUGACGCUGAGGAGCGAAAGCAUGGGGAGCGAACAGG
rnacentral:rRNA from 1 species